UACAGAGGGUGCAAGCGUUAAUCGGAAUUACUGGGCGUAAAGCGCAUGUAGGCGGAUGUGCAAGUUUGAUGUGAAAGCCCUGGGCUUAACCUGGGAAUGGCGUUGAAUACUGUGCAACUAGAGUCGAAGAGAGGGUUGUGGAAUUUCCGGUGUAGCAGUGAAAUGCGUAGAGAUCGGAAAGAACACCAGUGGCGAAGGCGGCAACCUGGCUUCAGACUGACGCUGAGGUGCGAAAGCAUGGGGAG
rnacentral:rRNA from 1 species